CCUACGGGUGGCAGCAGUAGGGAAUAUUGCUCAAUGGGGGAAACCCUGAAGCAGCAACGCCGCGUGGAGGAUGAAGGUUUUCGGAUUGUAAACUCCUUUUGUUAGAGAAGAUAAUGACGGUAUCUAACGAAUAAGCACCGGCUAACUCCGUGCCAGCAGCCGCGGUAAUACGGAGGGGGCAAGCGUUACUCGGAAUCACUGGGCGUAAAGAGCGCGUAGGCGGGAUAGCAAGUCAGAUGUGAAAUCCUAUGGCUUAACCAUAGAACUGCAUUUGAAACUGUUAUUCUAGAGUAUGGGAGAGGUAGGUGGAAUUCUUGGUGUAGGGGUAAAAUCCGUAGAGAUCAAGAGGAAUACUCGUUGCGAAGGCGACCUGCUGGAACAUAACUGACGCUGAUGCGCGAAAGCGUGGGGAGCAAACAGGAUUAGAUACCCCAGUAGUC
rnacentral:rRNA from 1 species